GCAGCAGUGUGCAGGGAGUGGACUCCCUUUCCCGGCAGAUCCCACCCCGCGCGGCCGCGUUGGGGAGCGGGCUAGGAAAGGAGGCGGUGGCCGCCGCCAUGUUGAUGGCGUGGGACGCUUAGCUCUGGAGGAGCGGUCGGGGAGCCGGGUUAAGAUGUCGGAAAAAGGGGAAGGUUACAGCUGAUUCCUGUGAAAUAAAGCACUUCAUUAUGCCAAGAGGAUACUUAAUUGGAAAGAGUCCUGAAGAGUUUUGCAGGCUUGCUUGAAGUCUUGGCUAAAGUCCAGUAAUGCUGCAGCUCAGGUAAAAUGAAGUCACAAGGAUUUAUUUCAUCCUUUGGCUCCUCCUGGAGGUAAGUACAAGGCAUUUGCUCAGGGUAUUGCUGCCCAGUAACUACACAGGUGGUGUGUUUGCCACAGGGUACACGAGUGCUGGAGGAAAGACGUUGUGAGAUGUUCUGUGGUGCAGAUACUUCACCUGAACAUUGCAGCCUUUCAAGAUUUGCUGGUACUACAGCAAUGUAUGCUAUGCUUUUAUCGCUUCAGGUGCAGCUCCCUCUAGUUCAGGAAGCUGAACCAGUUGCAUGCCAUCGUGCAGAAAGUCCAGUGUUCCAAGAGUGCUUCUCCUCACAGGCAGGUUCUCCAGUUUUAUCAUACUCCUCACUGAACAAAAGGAGUGGUGGGAGUGUAAUGCUCUUUUAAUAAAAUUCAUAGCAUCAAUAGUUCCAUAUAUCUGGAGAAUUCUGAAUUACAAGUACAGCCCUUUUUAUUUCUUUCCUUAUUCUGUUUCUCCUCUAUGCAGAUACCUUUCGAUUAGGUGAGCUGUUGGUGAAAUAAAGGGCACUGGCACUUUGAUGACUUCUGUCACAGCUGUUGUUCACUGUAGACUUUAGGCCUGUGAUUUUAUCUCUGCAUAAAGAUACCUGGUAAGGAUAGUAAAUAUUGAGUGGAAUGGUUGGGUCAAGUUUGGUUAUCUUUUCUAUAAAAUGUCAGAAAAAGUGCAUGUGAAAUCCUCAUCCAGGAUGGUCUGCUGGCUGAAUUACAGGAUGUUUUGUUAAACUGGUUUAGAAACAAUUGGUUUUACCUGCAGUGGUUCCCUUCACUCCCUCAGCAUCCCCCUGCAGUCAGUGCUGCUGCUCUGAGGAGGAUGCUGUGCACCCCACUUUACAGAUAAUUGUAUUUUGUUAUUUAUAUCUUAUUUCUUUAUCUGUAGAUAUAGGUGCCACUGAUGUCUCAGCUAAGGUAGGAAAAAGGAAACGACUUCAGAAACUACCCAAAUGAACAGCUGAUGCAAGAGAGAAGUAAAACAAGUUUUCUCUGUGUGUGUUUUUCACUUUGGUCUGUUUUGGAGGAUUUGAUACUUGCCAGUGCAUGGAUAUUACUUGUUGGUCACAGCUUGUCAGAGAUGUUAAUGAUGAAACCUGUGUUACAUGUCUCAGACUUGGAUAAUCUGUUCACCUGAAAGUGCCAAUGUCCAAAUCUAUCCUGACCCAGCAGGCCUCAAUUGCAAUGUCUGUAAGAAGCUUGCAGUCCUGUUGCAGAAGUAGGUGCUGUGGCUGCAUCCCUUAGGAGAAGAUAGAAGGUGACAGCAGAACCGAAAACCCGCCUGUGGCAUUUCCUAAACAUCAGUAUGCUCUGCUUUAAUGCUGUUAAUGAGCACCUGCUGCAGUGUCUGUGUGCUCCUCAGCCUGUGCAGCCUAGAGGUUUGUGUGUGCUUUACUGUGCUGUCAUCCUGCACUGCAGUACCUAUGGGUUGUUACUGAAGUGAUUGUGGGCACUGUGAACUCUGGUAAGCAACCGCCCUGUUUCCUGACCUGGAAAAUCAGUUGGGAGAUCCUGAAGGAGAGAUGAGGAAGUUAAGUAGGAAUGUGUGAUGACUUUGCUUAAAGAAGAAAAUGCUCAAUCUAAGUCUAAUCCAAGUUCAUACAUAGAAACCUGUCUUCAUGUCUCAGUGCUCAUUCUGACAAGCGUGCUCUGAAAGAAACCAAGCAUUUGGAUACUUAAAUUGGGUAUUCACUGGGUAGUAUACAAAGCCAGGCUGCAUAAGAAACACAGAUUUCAAGAUGAAGUGUACUAAUACAUCAUGUCAUAAUUUUUGGGGUGUGUGGUGGUCUAGGUCUACUGUCACUGUCACAUCCAUGUUAGUACAGCACAGAGAACUGUUGGGGUUCUUGGGAAUGAUGGUCAGGCAUAAUGUCAUUCCUGGUAUACAAAUUAACUGGACAAAAAGGUUUACAUGUGCACUGAAACAAAGUGGAAUAUGGUUUCUAAAAGUGAUACCAUCUAUGCUCAUCUUGGCACAUAAAUUUUGUUUUAAGAUCCUCUUUUCUUAAUUAUCCUGGCUGUAAGUCCCUUUGGGGGAAGGAGUGGAAGUGUUACUGACCAGCUACUUAUUUCAAAGCCUGUAGGGGAAGAGUGUAAAGUCUUUCAAAUUAAAGUUACUGCUCAGAUGAUAGUGGAUGAAGAAGCUGUGAUGAAGGUUGGUUUAUUUUAAUUGUUUCCUAUGGAGCUGUUUGCCAAAAAGUUUCUGGAGGUGCAAGGGGAAAGGUGAGAGGAUGAGUUCAGCUGGGAAGAACAGGUAAGUACUUCUAUAUCAUGUUACUGUUUCCAGGUAUCUUAAUGAUAAUGCCAAGAAUACAUUGUGAGCUUGGAAAAUAGAAAAAGAGUGGAAGGCUUCUGUGCCUUUUUAAAGUGUUCUACAGGAAAUUGUGGGGAGGCAACUGUUAAACCAAUAUCUGGAAGAACCUAGUGUUUGUGCAUAGCCAAACGAGUGUAAAGCAACUCUGGAAAUUAUUCUAAUGACUAAUUAUAAAGUGUUUUCCUUUUUUUUUUUUUUUCUUUCAGCACAAAGAAGAGUGCUCUAAGAGCAGUCAAGAGCCAAAAUAGGAUGGACAUGUUCUUCAGCUGAAACAUGGCAGCAGUUCAAUAGCAGUUACACAAUAGGAAAGGGUGUGCAGGCUGCUGCACGUCCCUGUGUUCUUUAGAUCUGGUGGUAUAUGAAAGAACUCAGUAGAGGGAAAAAGGUGGUUGCUUACACACCUUCAAACUCACUCAGUUCACUCAAGCAAAUGCAUUUGAAAAGAGAGCUCAUCUAAUACUGAAACAGGAAAUUGAUUUUAUUUUAGAUACUGGGAAAGAUAAUCACAAUAUGCAGAAUUUAAAAGUGCUAGUCAGGACACUGGAAAACUGCAAGUAGCUGAAGGACAGGAGGCUCCAAGACUCCAGCUGGGGGAAGCUCCCUUUUGGAAGGCACACUAGCAGUGGGGAAAACUUGCUAAACACAAGGAGGCCCAAAAGUUCUGCAGCCUUUAGCUACACAUGGAUUUGUCUCUUGAGGUGGGAUGGCCUGACAUGACCACUAAAGACCAUAAGGCUGUAGGCAGACUGCAUUUCUCUUAAAAGCACAUAUGCCACUACCCAGUUCAGAACCACCCAAAGAGCUUCAGUUUAUGUCAAAUACUGUUAGUUCCUGGAACAAUAGCUUUUCUUGGCCCCCUAACUCCUGCAGAGCCUGCUGGCUGAUUGUAGCUGUGCACUGAAGAUAAGCCUUCUUCACCCCUGGAUUGCUGGAUAAUGGCACACAAACAUGGCUCAGAUGGACUCAGGGCUGAGCAUGAAUCCUUUGGCUGCCACUGUUUUGCCUUUAAUAUGUACAAUGGAUGCCCUGAGCACUUCCAUGUGGAACAAGAAACAUUGGAGUGCAGGUUUAGAUGUACUUUCUGUAAGCACUGCCCUCUUCAGCACAAAGCUUGAUAAAAUCCUGUGUUGCAUAAAGCAGGUAGAGGUAUCCCAGAGGUUAUGGUUGGUGUGGACCUGACUCAGUUGCCACUAGGAAGGUCUAUUUUUGUUGUGGUGUGGUAAACCUGAGUUGGUAACUGAUACUGUUUAGCUGAUGGGCUUGUCUGUGCCAGGAGAGCAGUCCCUGAGCUGACAAACAUUCAAGCAUGGUACUAGCUUUUACAUCUUUCAACAUAAAAAUAAAAUGGAAACUUUAAAAGGUGGGAGGGGAAAAAGCAGAGGAUUUUUAAGGGCCAGAUAAAUUCUACUGAAAUGAAAAGCUCACUAAGAAUAUCUUCAUUCAAAGAAUGUAUUUUGGGAAAUUACCUCCUGUGUCAAGGGCAAUAUGAGCCUUUGGUUAUGGCAGGUGUCCAGCACUGUUCCUUGGCCCUUUUGUGAGGUUAUAGGGGAAGAGUGUCGGAUGAAGGAAAAGUGAAAGCCAUAACCAGAGGUUAACAUUUAGUUUUAGCAACUAUGUUUAUGUGAAGUGAUGCACCAUUAUUAAUUUUCAAAGCAAGUCCCGCACCUAAAUUGAUGGAAUCCCUGAUCAUGUGUGCAAGUGUCUUUGGGUUCUUCAGUUGUGUGAGUGCAAUGGUGCAACAUUACAUGUUGCAUUCCUGUAUGAUUCAGCUUAAAAUACAAGCUUGGGCAGUGAGUACCUAAACAACAGUAUUGUAGUCAGAGCAAUGACUACAGUAUUGUAGUCAUUCCUCAUGCACAGAAACAUUUCCUUUUGGGUAAGUAAUGCUGCACUGUGAAAAAGCAUGCAGCUCUUAGGACAGCACCAUUUGAUUGAGUUCCCUGUGCUACAAUUCCCUGGAUUUGCUCUCUUCCUUGCCCUGGACUCUACCCAAACUUCUAGUAUUUCUGUAUGUUACCACUGGUUUACUCUUCCAUUUUUGGGUGGGGUUUUUUUGCUGUUUAUUUGCAAAUGCCUCUUCCUGGAAAACUGGCAGCAACAGUAAGUAUCUCAGGUUCCUGGCCAAGUUUCCACUCACAUGGUUUCACUUGCUCCAUUCUGUCAAGUUAUUUACAUGUGGUGUCCUAAGGAUGUAAUUUAGUGGAUUGCUAGUGAGGAGCUAACCUACAUGUUUUGGCUGCAGUCCACAUAAGUUACACAAACCUGCUUCCUCAUGAAUUCAGUGGCUACUCUGGAAGCCCUUGGUUUCCUGAUGCACAACUUUAUGAAAAAGAUAAUGUUACACUGCUCUUGCAGAGAUUUAAAGUUGGUCAUAUUGGCGUUGCUCGCUUUACCUGCUGAGUUGCAGGACCCAGAAUGAUUUCUGAAUCUUGUUCUGCAUGCACAGCACCUAGGGCUCACAAGGUGAGAAGGAUACAUUCUUCAGGUCUGAUGUGCCACAAUACAGGAGAGAUGGCUUAGAGAUGUGUAGUUGAUCACUUAAGCAACCUUGCUCUAGGUAACCCUUAAUCUUCAUGUUCUGGUUUCAUGUGUAUCAGCAUUGUUUUGUUUCUAGUAGAGCAUCUUUGGGCAUGCAUUCCCAGGUAGUGUAAUUACUUGAAUUACCUGCUUUUGAGCUCUUGAAAAAUGCAGUUGCAUGAAGCAGAGGCAGCAGUGACAUUGGUAGUUUGAGGAAUUUGGUGUUACCUUCUGCCCUUGCCUUCCCAUGGUGCAGUACACCAUUCCCUUUCAUGCCAGUGCAACUACCUGGAGCAGCUUACGGAGCUAUCAGUGUCUUAAUCAGGGUGGUAACGCACGCUCCCUGCCCUGAGUAUGCUUUUCUGUGGGUCACUGCUGAUGUCUGGAGGAAGAGGUUUGUAGUUCUAUGGCUUUCUAGAACUUGAAUUAGGUUUGUGAACUGGUUUAGAGUGUUUUCACCAUGGCACAAAAAACAGGUGAUUGGAUGCAUGCCAGAAGUCCAAACUUGUUGUCUUGUUGCUGAAGUCUCUGACUCAUGAAAUUAUGCAUCUAAGGAUGCUGUUAAUUUUGUGGGGAAGGAGCAGCAAUGUCCCUUCUGCACAUGGCUGCUUUUUUAACCCAUGUUUUUCUGUGUUAGGUCUCAUGGCACAGCCUUCUUGUGGUUUUGCUGUGUAUAGCAUUCUGACCAGGCAGAUCAAGUGUUCCUGAUGUCUGUAAGCAGCACUAGAUAUUGUUCAACAUACUCCAGACAAAUUCUUGUACAAACAGAGCUGGAGUAAGAUAUGGAACACUCUUCUCCUGAGUUUGGGGUUUUUUAAGUUACUGAGACAACCAAUGUAUUUUCCUUUGAUUGAACUAAUUCUUAAAUAUAGGGAUUUGUAUAUUACCCCUGCACAUGUAGCCAAAUACAAUUAUAUAUUCAAUGGCAAAGUAGAUCAGCAAAAGAGAAUUGCGUACUAAACUGUUUCACAUAUGAUAGAUAAAAAGCUAAUCCCUAUUGUCAUUUUUGCAAUGCUCCUGCUUCCAGUGAAGGCUGCUCUGCUGUGACCUCUUGCUAUGCAAUUACGAUUUCCUUUCCCUGUUCUGAUAAUGGUGAAUGUUGCCCUCUGAUGACGACAAUGAGGUGACAGCUGUUUCAGAGAGACCUACAGUGGCUUCACUGUACAUGCUCUGCCUCAGUGGAUGUCAGCUAAGAGUAAUUGCAUCCCCCAAGAGUUAGACUUGCUGCUGUUGACCUUUCUGGAGAAACAAACAUGAAGUAGAGGCACGUGCAAUCCUCACAUGAGCUGGCAGCCAGGUGGGUGCUGUGUGUCACCAGGGAUGACAGGCAGUCACACUUUACUAAUAGCAGUGAGGUGCAUUUGGCCUCUUGAAAAUUCUUGCCCACUGAAAGCUCUCAUCUCCAGGGUAGAUUGUGACUGGGGGAACUGCUGUCCCAUGCUACCUCCUGGAAACAAGGGGGUGAUGAAAUGGAGUUUAUUUUAGUAGGUUCAAAGAGAAUAAAUUAAUGUUAUUCAUUAUAAAUAUUCACACAAUAAUUCAUAAGUAUUUUUAUAGUGUAAAUUGUUCCUAAGUACAUAUCUGGAAAUCUAGGCAUAUAUGUAUAUAAAAUGUAUGUAUUUAAAUACAUUUGUAUACAUUGUUUUAUAAUUCAUAAUCUAACACUUAGUAAAAUACAAAUUAGUAAAUUGUAUUUACUAAUUUGUAUUAAUUUAUUCUUUUUACAAAUAGUAAAAAGAAUCGUGGGAAAGGAGAGGAGCUUUGUGUUGACAAACUCCUGGGAUGGAGAAACUAUUCCUUGAGAACAAAUAGAACACACAUGUCUGGUCCACAGCAUGAAUGGUCCACAGUUGGCAUGGAUUGUUUUGUUAAAACUGCUCAUGACUGUCUUUUAAACUCAUAACCUUGGGAGGGUGGAUUAACUUUGUCAUAAGCACUGAGGCAUGUGACAUGCUUAGCCAUGAAAGCAAGGAUGUGAGGGGUCUCACAAGUUUCUGUCAACACUUCAGUGAUGAUGUGGCUCCCUGGGAUGGGUGGCAUUGCUGCCAUUCAUUCUGUGUGACACUGCAGCCUCAUCCACAUGGGUUUGAUGGUACCUCAAAUAUCCCAGCCUUUUGCUAUACUCGGUUCUCUGUUACCUGAAGUUAAAUUUAGGUGCAGAUCACAUCAGCCAAGAUCUUGCUUUUGGAAUAUGUCUGUCUCACUCACUGGUAUGAGUGACUCUGCUUCUUGGGUAGUAUUGAUUUACCAUCUUAUUUCUCCCAAAGGAAACAUGCGCUCUGAACUUUCCUUGUGCUCUGGCAGUGCUUUAUGUGUGCAACCUCCAGGUAAUGUUCACCUCCAUGGAUGUAAGGGAACAGCUAUCCCAGUCUUUCCUAAAUUUACUGCUCAGCAGUCAGUGACAUUGUGGGAAAAACAAAGCAUUAUUUUGCUCAUGUCCACCAUCCACAAAUGGCAUUUGGUUUUCAUCACCAUUUUGUUUCUAGCUAACAUGUCUGCUAACACACAGGUUUUCAAACUCCCUUUUUUUUUUCUUUUUCUACUAUUUCCUUGUCACCCAUAAGUAAUACAUUGCACUCAGUGUUUAGUGUGUGAGAAACCCUAGGAUGAUUCCCUGUAGUAGUAAAUUUUAGCUGUGGGGAGAUGGUGAUUCUGGUGGCUGCAGAAUUCCACCUAUAGCAUCCCAUCAUUAUAAAGAAAAAAGUAAGUUUGGAGGAAAGAGCCCUCUUUGAAUCUGGGUAGGGAAAGAGAUGUAUUAACACUUAAAAAGUAGACAAAAAUUGUUCUUCAUGUGCCAAGUUUCAUAUAUUUAACCUUUGCAUUUUAAAAUUUUAAAGUUGUGCAUUCUGUUUCCUAAACUGAUGACACUUGAGGAAAGCCAGUCGCUUCAAAUACCUCCAACACAGAAGUGGUGUUUUGCAGAUGCCCAGGGAAGAUGCAGAUGCACAGUAUUGCUGAGAAGCAGCCUGUCACAGCUAAAAUACAGUAGUGCAAAAACCUGUCAGCAGGCUGUGCAAACCCAGCCCUUCAUAUACGUUAUGUCUACAGUGUUCUGUGUGAAAGCUAUUAUCCCUUGGAAAACUUGCUGACACGUUUUAACAAGGAGAAUCAAAGACUUAGAAGUACCUCUGCAGGGUUCCCCUAAUUUGUACUGCAUUCAUUAUCAUAGUCAACUACUGCCCUCUCUUUAGUAAAGAUUAUAUUGGAAGCCAUCCAUAGAUAAAUAACUUCUUGAUACAGUUUUAACUAUUCAUCCAUUUGCAUAUGGCCUGGUUUUGACAUCAGCAGGUAUGUUCACAUUUCUGAGUCCAAAAUGCAAGGUUGCUUUAUGUUAUUUCUUUAGAAACAGUAGAAGUCAUAAAAGAAGGCCUAAUUUUCAAAACAUAAAUAUUACAUUUGUAUUUUAUUUAAAAUAAAAUCACGCAGAUGGAGGUGCAAGUCAGUACAGGGUUUGUUCAGGCAGGGUUUGUGGUUUCCUAGCCCACCUGUUCUGCCUGCAGAGCAGCAGAGAGAGCACAGUUUGUGCAAUCAUAAAUCCUGUUCAUACCUUCUCUCCUGGCAGACUCCUAGGGACAGGGCUGUAAGGUGAAACCUGGGCUGGAUGCAACUGCAAGGGGAGGAAGGGAAUAGCAGCUUCCCUUUGCAGGACCCCAGGGCACCCUGAAACGCAAAAGGACACGGAGAGGGGCCUACCUCGCUCCCUCCCAGCUGCCCUCGUCACACUGCUCAAGUCUCUGGGGUAGCUGAACGCCACGUGGUGCUGCAAAAUGCACGUCAGGGGCGUUGAUCUCUGCUGGCUCUGGAACUGGAGAGGCUGCUGUAGCUGCCUGAGCUGCUGGCCCCCUGUACCGGUGGGUGUUCACCAGCAGAGGGUGGCUCUAAGACCGUUCAUGUAUUCCUGUAAUGUUUAAACACACUACAGCGUGAAAACCGUGAUGGCCUCAGUGCUUCCUUUAGUGCCUAAUACUUAAUCUUUAGUUAGUAAUUACAAGAAAGAAGUAUCUGGCAAAGGUUUUUGUUUCAGCUUCCCCUCGCUGAUUUGUUUUUGUUUUUUUUCUCCUCUGACAUUAUUCUUCCAGGUAAGAAUAACCAAAUAUAGUUAAGGAUCAAGGGAUUUGAAAUAAAUAAUUGCAUAAGUUGUCAGUGCUCUAGCAUUUAUUAGGGAUUGAAACAUAAGACACUAAUAUUGAAUGGAAGUAAUUUUGCUGAACUUCAGACACCUAACAGAUGUCCAGUGUGUGCUUGGGCUUUCCUUGCACUCUGUGGAGAGCACUGCACACAUCCCAAGAUUGAUUUCAGCUCCUCUUACCCUAAUUCAAGAUCUCAGUCUAGAGAACACAAGCUAACAGGAGCCUGAGCCCAAACAGCACUUGUGUGUGUAUAAUUAUUCUCACAUGGAACCCCACUAUGUGCGACAGUUAAUGACUACAUGGUUAAUUAUGUGAGUAGUUUAUGUAGGAAUGGGUUCAAUUCUUGUGUCUGUGUUGCAGGGAGACUAAUUUGUGUCUUGAGAUGUUUGUUCAUUGACCAUAGAGGAAGCAGAGGUCAGACUAGCUCAAAGUGAGCUAUCUGACCUCCACAUCUAGCUGAGAUACAGCUCAGCCGCUGUGCCUGCAGGCUGCUGCUGCUGCUAACGGUGGGUCAUACUCUGCUUCAUCUUUGAAGGCCUGCACACACUUGGUAGGUUUUAUAGACCUGAUUUCACAUCUAAGGGAAUAAAGUGUAACAGUUCAUGUAAUUAGUAGACAGUCAUUAACUUCUCUGAAAUCAGUGGAAUUCCACAUGGGACCAUGUGUGAGUGAAUAUGUAGUUCAGGCUGUUGCUGACUGGAGACCUGUUGAGAAGCUCUACAAAAUAAAAGGUAGUAGUAAAUGAUGAUGGAAAAUUUUUCAUGUUCUAAUAUAUAGUGAUUUAUAUUCUGAAUUAGAUACUCUGUUCAGAAUUAUCCUACAUAUAUUUAAGUAGUUUUAAAAGGUUUGAACUAAAAUUCAGACAUUCUUGUUCUUGAUUUCAGUUUAUUUACUGCUCAGAAAUUAUUUUCAAAAUGGAAUUCCUAUCUAAAGUUCUUCAAUUAAAAAACCCAAACACCUGAGUACCAGCAGUUUUGAACUAUUGCAGAAGUAUAGCAUAGAUGCAGCCUCAGUAUUUACCAGAGUAGAUAAAAUUCCUCUCUGUUUGCAGAAAUAGAGCAACUUAGGGACCAACUCAAGCAAAAAAUUGAAGAGGCAUCUUUACAAAGUCUACAAACAGCAGAUGACCUCUGGCUUUCUCUUCCACAGAAGACAGGCAAUACCAAAUGUGAAGAGGAUUCACUUCCUCCUUCCUGCCUGAUCGGCAGGUAUCAAGCCUUUUGAGCCUGUUUCCAAAACCAUAUCCAUAAUGCAAGAAGUGUUUGAUGUAUGUAAAAAUAGAGACAUGCCACAACAAUGAUUAAGGGAUUAGAGGAAAAGGAUCAGGAGGACAAGAGAAGAUUAUUGCAGACACAAGGGUGUAUCAAUGACACCAGCAUACACUGUGGUUCUUCUGGAAGUUUCCAGUCCACACCAGACUAAUCAGAGCUUUCUGCAGGAUGUAAGCAUGCCCAGCACUUGUACUCUGCUUGAGGUUAAGAUGGAAAAUCCUGUGUGUGAUUCCCUCCUCUUAAUGACCUGUUUGUAUACAGAUGGGCUUUCCAGUUAUGGAAAUGACCCAUGACUUAUGAAAUAGCCUCUUCCUGUUUGCAAUGAUGCAGUGAAGUAUUGAGUCAUCUCUAACCCUUGAGCCUUCCCUGUACAAGCUCUUUGUUGUUUGCAACGUGUCCCCUGGGAUUUGGAUUGAUGAUACUGGACAAUUGUUUUCACUUGAACUGGUCCCAGUUUUACCAGUUUUGGAUUAAUUACUGCUCUUUCCUAGAGGAAAAGGUUUGAUCCACAUCACUGCUGAUUUGAAUUAUAAUAACUUACUGAAAAAAUA